CAGUAGCCGCGGUAAUACGAAGGUCCCGAGCCUUGUUCGGAAUCACUGGGCGUAAAGGGAGCGUAGGCGGCGUGGUAAGUCAGAUGUGAAAUCCCGGGGCUCAACCCCGGAACUGCAUCCGAUACUGCCAUGCUUGAGGGUUGGAGAGGUAGCUGGAAUUCUCGGUGUAGCAGUGAAAUGCGUGGAUAUCGAGAGGAACACUCGUGGCGAAGGCGAGCUACUGGACAACAUCUGACGCUGAGGCUCGAAGGCUAGGGUAGCGAAAGGGAUUAGAUACCCCAGUAGUCCCUGUCUCUUAUAC
rnacentral:rRNA from 1 species